rnacentral:rRNA from 1 species
AUUGAACGCUGGCGGCAGGCCUAACACAUGCAAGUCGAACGAGUGGCGGACGGGUGAGUAAUGUCUGGGAAACUGCCCGAUGGAGGGGGAUAACUACUGGAAACGGUAGCUAAUACCGCAUACCAUCGGAUGUGCCCAGAUGGGAUUAGCUAGUAGGUGGGGUAACGGCUCACCUAGGCGACGAUCCCUAGCUGGUCUGCGAGGAUGACCGGCUACACUGGAGCUGAGACACGGUCCAGACUCCUACGGGAGGCAGCAGUGGGGAAUAUUGCACAAUGGGCGCAAGCCGGAUGCAGCCAUGACGCGUGAAUGAAGAAGGCCGUCGGGUUGUAAAGUACUUUCGGCGAGGAGGCGUUACUCGCAGAAAAAGCACCGGCUAACUCCGUGCCAGCAGCCGCGGUAAUAC